rnacentral:rRNA from 1 species
AUUGAACGCUGGCGGCAUGCUUUACACAUGCAAGUCGAACGGUAACAGGGUGCUUGCACCGCUGACGAGUGGCGAACGGGUGAGUAAUGCAUCGGAAUGUACCGUGUAAUGGGGAAAGGCCGGCCAAAGCCGGAUUAAUUCCGCCAACCGCCCGGAGGGGGAAGGUGGGGGACGAAAAGCCCUACCGUAUAAGGGGCAGCCGAGGUCGGAUAGCUUGGUGGGUGGGGUAAGGGCUCACCAAGGCGUCGACCAGUAGCGGGUCUGAGAGGAUGAUCCGCCACCCUGGGACUGAGACACGGCCCAGACUCCUACGGGAGGCAGCAGUGGGGAAUUUUGGACAAUGGGCGCAAGCCUGAUCCAGCCAUGCCGCGUGUCUGAAGAAGGCCUUCGGGUUGUAAAGGACUUUUGUCCGGGAGCAAAUCCUAGUGGUUAAUAACCGCUGGGUCUGAGAGUACCGGAAGAAUAAGCACCGGCUAACUACGUG